rnacentral:rRNA from 1 species
CAGCCGCCGCGGGAAUACGAAGGGUGCAAGCGUUAAUCGGAAUUACUGGGCGUAAAGCGUGCGCAGGCGGUUUGUUAAGACAGAUGUGAAAUCCCCGGGCUCAACCUGGGAACUGCAUUUGUGACUGGCAAGCUAGAGUCUGGCAGAGGGGGGUGGAAUUCCGCGUGUAGCAGUGAAAUGCGUAGAUAUGCGGAGGAACACCGAUGGCGAAGGCAGCCCCCUGGGCCAACCCUGACGCUCAUGCACGAAAGCGUGGGGAGCAAACAGGAUUAGAUACCCGAGUAGUCCCUGUCUCUUAUAA